rnacentral:lncRNA from 1 species
UCCCUUUGACAAUGAAUUUCAUCAAAACCACACAAAAAUAGUUCCCCCGCAUUAAAAAAAUGUUUCUUUAAACUAGAAGGGAUUUUUUUUUGUUUAUUUUGUCAUAUUUCAUUUUGUUGUUGUUGUUGUAAUGAGCAUUAUAAAACAUCAUGAACAUGAUAAUUGUGCAUCCAAGUCAUGUAAAGAGUAGUUGUGCUCGACAUGUAUAUAAGUAUGAUGUAAUCUACACAUGACUAAAAAUCAAGUAUUGUUAUGAUUUAUUGCA